CAGAGGUGCCAAGCGUUAGGCGGAAUCACUGGGCUUAAAGCGUGUGUAGGCGGAUCGUUAAGUGUCUUGUGAAAUCCCACGGCUCAACCGUGGAACUGCUCGACAUACUGGCGAUCUUGAGCAACCUAGGGGCGAGCGGAACAAAUGGUGGAGCGGUGAAAUGCGUAGAUAUCAUUUGGAACGCCAAUGGUGAAAACAGCUCGCUGGGGGUUUGCUGACGCUGAGACACGAAAGCCAGGGGAGCGAACGGGAUUAGAUACCCCGGUAGUCCUGGCCGUAAACGAUGUCGACUAGAUCGUAGUGCCUCUGACGGUAUUACGGUCGAAGCAAAAGUGCUAAGUCGACCGCCUGGGAAGUACGGUCGCAAGGCUA
rnacentral:rRNA from 1 species